rnacentral:rRNA from 1 species
AGUGAACGCUGGCGGUAGGCCUAACACAUGCAAGUCGAACGGCAGCACAGCAAGAGCUUGCUCUUACGGGUGGCGAGUGGCGGACGGGUGCGGAAUACAUCGGAAUCUACUUUUUCGUGGGGGCGAACGUAGGGAAACUUACGCUAAUACCGCAUACGACCUACGGGGGAAAGCAUGGGAUCUUCGGACCUUGCGCGAUUGAAUGAGGCGAUGUCGGAUUAGCUAGUUGGCGGGGUAAAGGCCCACCAAGGCGACGAUCCGUAGCUGGUCUGAGAGGAUGAUCAGCCACACUGGAACUGAGACACGGUCCAGGCUCCUACGGGAGGCAGCAGUGGGGAAUAUUGGACAAUGGGCGCAAGCCUGAUCCAGCCAUACCGCGUGGGUGAAGAAGGCCUUCGGGUUGUAAAGCCCUUUUGUUGGGAAAGAAAAGCAGCAGGUUAAUACCCCGCUGUUCUGACGGUACCCAAAGAAUAAGCACCGGCUAACUUCGUG